GAGGAAGUAAAAGUCGUAACAAGGUUUCCACAGUUGAAGAACAUCCUUCUUUGAAGCCUUCUGCACAACGACUCUAACUAUGUGCUUAGUCUGCCCUGUGAGUGGUGGGCGACGUCACCUGUAUGCUGGAAUGCACUUUUGUGGGACCAGCAGCCAAACGUUAUAUCUGCCCCGAUAUAUUUGGUUCACAGAUUAGAUGGUGGCGGUCAGCAUAACGCUUCGUUAGAUGUCCACGAUGCCCUAAUUCAUUUGUCAUACGAUGUAUGAUCUCGCAGAGUCCCAGGGACCUCUUGGACUUAACACCUUCCAAAUCAGGGAUUUCGACCCUCGAAUGAGUUAAUCGGGUGUGGCUCUAACUUUGCCGGCGCUGAUCAAGAUAUAAUCGGUCUCCGUAGCUUGCAACUAUGGUCUGAGAAACGUUCCGUAGGUGAACCUGCGGAAGGAUCAUUA
rnacentral:rRNA from 1 species